rnacentral:rRNA from 1 species
AACGAACGCUGGCGGCAUGCCUAACACAUGCAAGUCGAACGAAGGCUUCGGCCUUAGUGGCGCACGGGUGCGUAACGCGUGGGAAUCUGCCCUUUGCUUCGGAAUAACAGUUAGAAAUGACUGCUAAUACCGGAUGAUGUCGCAAGACCAAAGAUUUAUCGGCAAAGGAUGAGCCCGCGUAGGAUUAGCUAGUUGGUGGGGUAAAGGCCUACCAAGGCGACGAUCCUUAGCUGGUCUGAGAGGAUGAUCAGCCACACUGGGACUGAGACACGGCCCAGACUCCUACGGGAGGCAGCAGUGGGGAAUAUUGGACAAUGGGCGAAAGCCUGAUCCAGCAAUGCCGCGUGAGUGAUGAAGGCCUUAGGGUUGUAAAGCUCUUUUACCCGGGAUGAUAAUGACAGUACCGGGAGAAUAAGCUCCGACUAACUCCGUG